rnacentral:tRNA from 1 species
GAGGGUAUAGCUCAGUGGUAGAGUGUGUGCCUAACGUGCACAAGGUCCUGGGUUCAAUUCCCAGCACUGCCA